UCACCUCCACACACUCUGUCCAGCUCAAUUAAGGACAGCAUGUCUCUCCUCUCAGCCUCACGAAGUUCCUUUUUCUCCUGCUGUUUGCGUCGUAUCUGGGAACCCCACGAAUCAAUCAGACACAUGUUAGCUGCAGCUUUUUUCUCCUUCUCCAGUUUUUCAAGCUUCUGCUCUGCAGCUUCCCGAUGUUUAAUGUCUUCCAUUAACUUUUCCUCCAUAAAAGUCCUUUUCAUAUCUUCUUUUUUCUUUAUAAGUGAAAGUUGGUCGUACACGAUUUUUUUACGCAUUUCAAGACUUCUGUUGUUAUCAGCAAUGUCACAGUGAGUGUCACGAUCUAGAACGACCGAUUGAUGAUGAACAGCUCUUCCUGGCUCAGUAACGUUGUUCUGUGUCUUCAGGUUCUGCUGAGCCGCCUUCUUCUGUCUACUUUCCUCACCUCGAUAUCCAGGAAGAACCCCUUGCCUUUCAGUCCUGUCCAUUUCCCUCUUCUUUUUCUCUUUGCGUUUAUGUCUGGCAGCCAAUUCAUCAGCCAGAGGGUUUUGCGUUGGAGUUUUCUGUUGCUGCUGUAUUUUAUGUGACAAUGUGGCAGUCUCAUCCUCGUAAAACAUGUCACAAUGCUUUUUCUGUAAAAGAACAUCACAUUUCUUUAGUACGUCCUCUAAACUGUAAUCACUAGAUUUCUUUUUUUCUUUGGUACGCAGAGUCUCAUUCUGUCUCAAAAAUUUCCGGCAUUGCUCUUUCUUCCGUCUACUCGUCUCAAUUUCCUCAGUUUGAUGGAGUCUAUCUGACUCCAUCAUGGCAGCCCUGUAUUGCCUUUCAAGUUUAGCUUGUUUCUCCUCCUUCUGUUGUUUAUAUUGAAUUUGAGCAUCCCAGGUAUCAGUCAGAGACUGUUUUAUUUCAUCUUUCUGCUUCCUUUCUCUUUCCUCUUGCAACUUCUGGAGUAACUGCUGAUUGGCCCUCUCUGCACAACGCUUGUUCUCCAGAAGAAUGUAAUUGGCAGCUUCUUUCCUCUUUAUUUUGUCUAGAUUGUCGUAAACAAUCUUCUUACAAUCCUGUUGAGAAAGGACCUUUUCAGGAAGCCUCAUCUCACGCUGGUGUUGAAACACAGAUAUAGAAGGAAAGUCUUCAUUUGUCUCCCGCAUAGCCAUUUCUUUAGAAAAAAUGUUCUCCUCUAAAGUGUCUUUUGCAACUUCUUUUUUCUUCAGGUCCUGUAUGAUGGGUUUCUGUUCUUUUUUACAUGACAAAGGCUUCUUAAACUGUUUGUCAUGUUUGUCUUUCCCAGUAACCUCAUUGCAAUUAGCUGUGGACACAGCUCUUUGUCUCAUUUUUUGUUCAUGUUCUGCAUUUUUUGUAUAUAUCGUCCAGUAUGAAACAACGGUGUUUGAAGAUUUUUCCUGCUCUCGAAGUCAUAAAGCUUGAAUGGCAGCUUAACGGCAGAAAGGAACAGAAGAUUAGCGGCCCUAUUGAUAGAGGCACAAGGUAUGUUUCUUUUGUAAAUGAGGAUGGUUCUAAUUUUUUAAUCGAUUGAAAUUGUGAAUUUGUUGUAUAUAAACACUAGGGCAUAGUUUUGAAUUAGAGUUGAUAUUUUUAGAGGUGAACAUUAUUUUUAGUUGAAACGUUCUGGUUGUAAGAGUGUGUUUUUGUAGCUUACACUGUCCUUUUUGUGUGUGUGUGUGUGUGUGUUUGUGCAUACAGCUAUUACAGUGAAACUCAGGGUUUACUUCCAAUAAACAAUCCUUCAUUUGGG